AGUUAAAAAGCUCGUAGUUGGAUUUCGGGCCCAGGUGACCGGUCCGCCGUAUCGGUGUGCACUGGUUAGCUCGGUCUUUCUGCCGGGGACACGCUCCGUCUUAAUUGCCGGACGUGGAGUCGGCGAUGUUACUUUGAAAAAAUUAGAGUGUUCAAAGCAGGCUUACGCUCUGAAUACUAUAGCAUGGAAUAACACGAUAGGACUCCGAGCCUAUUUUGUUGGUCUUCGGGACCGGAGUAAUGAUUAAGAGGGACAGUUGGGGGCAUUCGUAUUACGGUGUCAGAGGUGAAAUUCUUGGAUUUCCGUAAGACGAACUUCUGCGAAAGCAUUUGCCAAGGAUGUUUUCAUUAAUCAAGAACGAAAGUUGGGGGCUCGAAGAUGAUCAGAUACCGUCGUAGUCUCAACCAUAAACGAUGCCGACUAGGGAUUGCAGGAUGUUAAUUCGAUGACUUCUGCAGCACCUUAAGAGAAAUCAAAGUUUUUGGGUUCCGGGGGGAGUAUGGUCGCAAGGCUGAAACUUAAAGGAAUUGACGGAAGGGCACCACCAGGCGUGGAGCCUGCGGCUUAAUUUGACUCAACACGGGGAAACUUACCGGGUCCAGACAUAGUAAGGAUUGACAGAUUGAGAGCUCUU
rnacentral:rRNA from 1 species